rnacentral:rRNA from 1 species
CCCUUAGAUGUUCUGGGCCGCACGCGUGCUACACUGAGUAAAUCAAUGGGUAAGGGAACACGAAAGUGCAACCUAAUCUUCAAAUUUGCUCGUGAUGGGGAUCGACGGUUGCAAUUUUCCGUCGUGAACGAGGAAUACCUUGUAGGCGCGUGUCAUCAUCACGCGCCGAAUACGUCCCUGCCCUUUGUACACACCGCCCGUCGCUCCUACCGAUUGAGUGAUCCGGUGAGGCUCUGGGACCUGGUCGGAAAGAGCGUUUCGCUUGUUCUGUUUGGGAAACUUGGUCGAACCUUAUCAUUUAGAGGAAGGAGAAGUCGUAACA